rnacentral:rRNA from 1 species
UGGGGAAUAUUGGACAAUGGGGGCAACCCUGAUCCAGCAAUGCCGCGUGUGUGAAGAAGGUCUUCGGAUUGUAAAGCACUUUCGACGGGGACGAUGAUGACGGUACCCGUAGAAGAAGCCCCGGCUAACUUCGUGCCAGCAGCCGCGGUAAUACGAAGGGGGCUAGCGUUGCUCGGAAUGACUGGGCGUAAAGGGCGUGUAGGCGGUUUACACAGUCAGAUGUGAAAUCCCCGGGCUUAACCUGGGAGCUGCAUUUGAUACGUGUAGACUAGAGUGUGAGAGAGGGUUGUGGAAUUCCCAGUGUAGAGGUGAAAUUCGUAGAUAUUGGGA